AGGGUUCGAUCCUGGCUCAGGACGAACGCUGGCGGCGUGCCUAAUACAUGCAAGUAGAACGCUGAAGGAGGAGCUUGCUCUUCUGGAAGAGUUGCGAACGGGUGAGUAACGCGUAGGUAACCUGCCUGGUAGCGGGGGAUAACUAUUGGAAACGAUAGCUAAUACCGCAUAAGAUUGAAUAUCGCAUGAUAAUUGAUUAAAAGAUGCAAUUGCAUCACUACCAGAUGGACCUGCGUUGUAUUAGCUAGUAGGUGAGGUAACGGCUCACCUAGGCGACGAUACAUAGCCGACCUGAGAGGGUGAUCGGCCACACUGGGACUGAGACACGGCCCAG
rnacentral:rRNA from 1 species